CUAGGGAGACUGGCCUGGGCUAACCAGGGAGGAAGGUAGGGAUGACGUCAAGUCCUCAUGGCCCUUAUGUCCAGGGCUACACACGUAAUACAAUGGUCGGUACAAAGGGAUGCGAACUCGCGAGGGGGAGCAAAUCUCAAAAAACCGAUCUCAGUCCGGGAUUGGAGUCUGCAACUCGACUCCAUGAAGUUGGAAUCGCUAGUAAUCGCGGAUCAGCACGCCGCGGUGAAUACGUUCCCGGGCCUU
rnacentral:rRNA from 1 species